rnacentral:sRNA from 1 species
AGAUGAGCUCAGGCUCAUGGGUCCUGUACCCUCUAGGUGCUGCCCCAGGCCUACGCAGGCUUUUGGCAAGAAUGAUCCAGGCUAGGAUGAGAGGAUAAGGAGGUUCUCGUUUUCCAUACAAGGAGGCCUCAUAGCUGCAAUUUCCACAAGAGUGUAGCAAUUAGACAGCAUCCAUGUCACCAUCUUACACAAGGAGGAAGGUGCUGGUCUUGGGUUCAGCUUGGCAGGAGGAGCAGAUCUAGAAAACAAGGUGAUUACGGUUCACAGAGUGUUUCCAAAUGGGCUGGCCUCCCAGGAAGGGACUAUUCAGAAGGGCUAUGAGGUUCUUUCCAUCAACGGCAAGUCUCUCAAGGGGACCACGCACAAUGAUGCCUUGGCCAUCCUUCGCCAAGCUCGAGAGCCCAGGCAAGCUGUGAUUGUCACAAGGAAGCUGACUCCAGAGGCCAUGCCCGACCUAAACUCCUCCACUGACUCUGCAGCCUCAGCCUCUGCAGCCAGUGAUGUUUCUGUAGAAUCUACAGCAGAGGCCACAGUCUGCACGGUGACACUGGAGAAG